rnacentral:rRNA from 1 species
CAGAGGGUGCGAGCGUUAAUCGGAAUUACUGGGCGUAAAGCGCGCGUAGGCGGCUUUGCAAGUCGGGUGUGAAAUCCCCAGGCUUAACCUGGGAACUGCAUUCGAGACUGCAUUGCUAGAGUAUGGGAGAGGGAAGUGGAAUUUCCGGUGUAGCGGUGAAAUGCGUAGAUAUCGGAGGGAACAUCAGUGGCGAAAGCGACUUCCUGGACCAAUACUGACGCUCAUGUGCGAAAGCGUGGGGAGCAAACAGGAUUAGAUACCCUGGUAGUCCACGCCAUAAACGAUGACAACUGGAUGUCGGGAGGGUCUGCCUCUCGGUGUCGUAGCUAACGCGUUAAGUUGUCCGCCUGGGGAGUACGGCCGCAAGGUUG